AUUAUUUUGGCAGAAUAGUGCGUUAGAUUUAGAAUCUUUUCAAGUAGUUUAAUCUACAAAUAAUA
rnacentral:tRNA from 1 species